GGAACAAUUACAAAAGAUGUAACAUACAUGGAAUUAAAAAACAAGGCCCACCUGUGUUAUUUAUAAGAAAUCCACUUUAAAUAUAAAGACACAGAUUACAAGUAAAAGGAUGGAGAAAGAUAUCCUAUGCUGACACUAAUCAAAAAAACCUGAAGUAGAUGUUAAUUUCAGAAAGCCGACUUCAGAAUACGAAAAAUGAUCAGAGAUAAAGAGGGACAUUACUGAGCCAUAAAAGUGUCCGUUCUCCAAGAAUACAUAGCAAUAGUUAAUGUGUGUACACCUAGCAACAAGGCAUCAAAAUACUUGAGGCAACAACUGAAAACUUCAAGGAGAAACAGACAUUCACUGUUACAGUUGAGGACUUCAACAUCCCAUCAGACACUCACCAAGUGGACCCAGAAUACAGAAAUGGCUCCUCGUUCUCCUCCAAAGAAGGUUUCCACAUCACACAGCCACCACAGAAUAUGCUGUUCAGACAGGUCCCAUGUAGCCCAAUGGGGUCAGUGGUGCGGCGGUCAUUACUGUCCAGCCAGGGAAAAGAUGGGAGGUGAAUCCUGCCUUUCGGAGAAUGAAUGGACGUAAAUCCAUCUGGAUCCUUGGAAGGAAAGGAGAGAAGAAGAUGGGAACUCUCCUUGCUUGCUCAUCUCCGUAUCCCACAAAAACAGGACAGCCGAGUUUUCCAGAAGCUCUCCACUCUGCUUGGUGGGGACGUGCUCUCUCUUUCGGGGAGAUCUGAAGACACUAUACUCUACUUCCCUCAACCGGAUGCCCUCCCUGGAGAGGUUCCUCCCUGGAUAGGCUUCCAAGUCUGGGACUCGCACGAUGCGACUGUCUGGGACCUCAGCUGUGUGACUUCCCCUUGUGGGACCCCAGCUUCCUGGCCCCUCCAUUGGGGCACAGCCCCCCACGGGACUGCUGGGAGGAUCCGACUCGAGCCGUCAGGUGCAGGGGAAGGGCAGUCCACACCGUGGUGGGGACCCUGCACGUGAGCAUCUGGGCAACCUAAAGAUUUGCCCCACACCAUCCUCAACACAGACGUAGGUGCCUUUUAACCCAAAGUCAGUGCAAAUGAGGAACUGGAACUCAAGCUUUGUGUCCAAGUGCAUGAUCCUGUUCAGAUAGUGAAGUCCCCCAUUCUGGAACAAAAGCUUUCACUGCGCGGAGGACCGCAAGGAUGCUGGUGAUGCAAAGAGCCAGCCAAGAGAUGUGACGAUCUAGAGCCACAGGAUCUAGAGCCAGACUGCCUGGCCUGAAUUCUGGGGAAGACGAGAAGACUAGAGGGAAAGGACCAUAUGCUUCACCUUAAAGUCAUACGGAGCCAGGACUCCGCUGUCUCCUGAGAUGAGGCUGACAAGAGAGGGAAAAGCUGGUGCACAUUUCUGAGCGGGGGACGUGCAAGGGGAGUCAGGCCGGACUCCUGUACAAGAGCUCGGCGUCCUGACCGCACAGAUGAGAACGGAGAUUGCGGUAAAAUCCUGGGACAGCGGCAUCCGGGCUGGGCCAGGGGCCCCUCCUCACUGCCCCCAGGCAUCAGAACUGACUCAGGAGGCAGAACCCCAAACUGUGCUUCUGUCCUCAGACUGGAUUUUCCCCUUCUUCCAGCCCAACCCAACUGUGUCUGGUAGAGGGUUUGGCUGGGAACUCUAAACCCAUCCUUUUCUCUGGAGAGGCUGGGCAUUGGGCCGUGGCCCCAGAAAGAGGGAGCGGCGCGUGGAGAGCCCUCCCAGAUCAAAGCCACAGGGACUAGCUCUGUUGUCGCUGCCCCUGUCCAGUUUUCCCGGGGUUCCCACAGGGCCUUCCUAGGGCAAAAACCAGUGCCAUCCUUCUUGGACUUGGUUUCCCAAGGAAGCAAUGUCCCUCAGAGUGGACCCAUAGCAUCACCCGUCUGGGCCCAAUCCCAGACGUGCUAAAUCAGAGUCUCAGAGGUCAGGCCCGGGCAUCCGCCUUCUAGAGCUCCGCUAGGAAAUUCGUCAUUAAAUUCAAACCCCAUCAGAUGGUGACCUCCUGGGGCAGGGACCGUGACCUUCUCAUACUCCAGCCACCCUAGCUCCCAUCUCACCCCCUCCCCUGGCUCAUUUUCCUCCUUAGCACUUCUCACAGUGCGACCUGAUACAGUAUGUCUAUAUCCCACUCGCUUAUCCUGUUUAGUAUCUGACCUUCCCCACCCCCACCCCCCACGCUCGGAACGGACAUUUGGUCUGUUUUGGUCACCGUCAGUAUCUUCAGUGCCUAGAACCAUGCCGAACACAUGGUAAGUGCUUCAGCAAAUAGCAAAGCCCUCCUUGAUAAGAGGUCCGGGUGAGCGAGGGGGAAGGCCAGGAGGGUGAUAGUGAUUCUCCCAGGAUCUCUGAGAGCAGACCUCAGGCAG